rnacentral:lncRNA from 1 species
GAAAAAAAUAACAGACAAUUUCAAAGAUGUGCAAAGAUUUCUCAAUGAUAAUUCUAAGAUCUGACUGAUCUGGGGAAUGCUGACAUCCUUUCAAGCUCUCACUCUGGGAGAAGCAAGCUACCACGUUGUGAAAAGCCCUAUGGAGAGGCCCACAUGAUGAGGAACUGAAGCUUUCAGCCACCAGCCAGGGAGGAAUGGAGCCCUGUCAGCAACCAUAGGAAUGAACUUG